UACGGAGGAUCCAAGCGUUAUCCGGAAUCAUUGGGUUUAAAGGGUCCGUAGGCGGUUUAGUAAGUCAGUGGUGAAAGCCCAUCGCUCAACGAUGGAACGGCCAUUGAUACUGCUAGACUUGAAUUACUAGGAAGUAACUAGAAUAUGUAGUGUAGCGGUGAAAUGCUUAGAUAUUACAUGGAAUACCAAUUGCGAAGGCAGCUCUCUGGGACGGUACUGACGCUGAGACGCGAAAGCGUGGGGAGCGAACAGG
rnacentral:rRNA from 1 species